UACGAAGGGGCUAGCGUUGUUCGGAAUUACUGGGCGUAAAGCGCGCGCAGGCGGUUUCUCAAGUCAGUGGUGAAAGCCCGGAGCUCAACUCCGGAACUGCCAUUGAAACUGUAAAACUUGAGGAUGAGAGAGGUGAGUGGAAUUCCCAGUGUAGAGGUGAAAUUCGUAGAUAUUGGGAAGAACACCGGUGGCGAAGGCGGCUCACUGGCUCAUUUCUGACGCUCAGGCGCGACAGCGUGGGGAUCAAACAGG
rnacentral:rRNA from 1 species